GACGAACGCUGGCGGCGUGCUUAACACAUGCAAGUCGAACGGAAAGGCCCUGCUUGCAGGGUACUCGAGUGGCGAACGGGUGAGUAACACGUGGGUGAUCUGCCCUGCACUUCGGGAUAAGCCUGGGAAACUGGGUCUAAUACCGGAUAGGAGCCAUUUUUAGUGUGAUGGUUGGAAAGUUUUUUCGGUGUAGGAUGAGCUCGCGGCCUAUCAGCUUGUUGGUGGGGUAAUGGCCUACCAAGGCGGCGACGGGUAGCCGGCCUGAGAGGGUGGACGGCCACAUUUGGACUGAGAUACGGCCCAGACGCCUACGGGAGGCAGCAGGGGGGAAUAUUGCACAAUGGGCGCAAGCCUGAUGCAGCGACGCCGCGUGGGGGAUGACGGCCUUCGGGUUGUAAACUCCUUUCGCUAGGGACGAAGCUUUUUGUGACGGUACCUAGAUAAGAAGCACCGGCUAACUACGUG
rnacentral:rRNA from 1 species